UAAUUUAUAUUUUACAGGACAGACCAUAUAUUAGUGGAAAAUAUAAAGUACAUGAAAAAUAUUCAAGAAGAACAUUUAGCUACGACGUAGCUAUGAUAACAUUAGACAAGGAAAUUGAAAUGGGAGACUGUGCACAACCUGUUGAGUUAAUAGGAGCCGAUGAAGAUAUUCCUGCAGGCACAAAUGUUACAGUAAUGGGAUUUGGAAAAAUAUCGCAAGAUGGACCUCUCAGUGAUGACUUGAAGGCAGUUGACUUAAAAAUGUAUUCUGAUCAAUACUGUCAUAAAUUCUAUGGUCGUUUACCAACAGCCACGCAAAUAUGUGCAGGACACAACAAAGACAACCAGAAUACUUGCGGGGGCGAUUCUGGUGGACCUAUUGUAUUCUACAAGACUAAAAAACAAUGUUGUUUGGUGACUGCUGGUAGGUACUGCGCGAAGGCCAACUACCCGAAGCUAUUUACCAAAUUAAGCAAUAAAGAAGUACACGAAUGGAUAAUAAAACAUUCAAGUAAUUAAUGUGAUGCCUCCUUAUUAUUGUUUGGUGUGAAAAUAAAGUAAAAAUGAAAAUGAAAA